rnacentral:rRNA from 1 species
CUGGUUGAUCCUGCCGGAGGUCACUGCUAUUGGGAUUCGACUAAGCCAUGCGAGUCGAGAGGGUUCGGCCCUCGGCUGACGGCUCAGUAACACGUGGAUAAUCUGCCCUUAGGUGGAGGAUAAUCCCGGGAAACUGAGAAUAAUACUCCAUAGAUCUGGGAUGCUGGAAUGCACUCAGAUUGAAAGCUCUGGCGCCUAAGGAUGAGUCUGCGGACUAUCAGGUAGUAGUCAGGGUAAAGACCUGACUAGCCUACGACGGAUACGGGUUGUGAGAGCAAUAACCCGGAGACGAUAUCUGAGACACGAUAUCGGGCCCUACGGGGUGCAGCAGGCGCGAAAACUUCACACUGUGCGAAAGCACGAUGAGGGGAUCCCAAGUGCUUGCUCGUAAGAGUAAGCUGUUUUUUUGUCUAAAACACGGAGAGAGUAAGGGCUGGGUAAGACGGGUGCCAGCCGCCGCGGUAAUACCUGCAGCUCAAGUGGUGAUCAUUAUUAUUGGGCCUAAAACGUCCGUAGCCGGUUUAAUAAAUGCCUGGGUAAAUCGUGUAGCUUAACUAUACGAAUUCUGGGUAGACUGUUAAACUUGAGACCGGGAGAGGCUAGAGGUACUCCUGGGGUAGAGGUGAAAUUCUGUAAUCCUAGGGGGACCACCAGUGGCGAAGGCGUCUAGCUAGAACGGGUCUGACGGUGAGGGACGAAGCCCUGGGGCACAAACCGGAUUAGAUACCCGGGUAGUCCAGGGUGUAAACGCUGCUUGCUUGAUGUUAGUUGGGCUCCGAGCCCAAUUAGUGUCGGAGAGAAGUUGUUAAGCAAGCUGCCUGGGAAGUACGGUCGCAAGGCUGAAACUUAAAGGAAUUGGCGGGGGAGCACAGCAACAGGUGGAGCGUGCGGUUUAAUUGGACUCAACGCCGG